AUGCCAAAGAGCUGUUGUCGCACCAUCGCUACGAAGCUUUGUGAGCCGAAAAAAGCAUCCCUCAUCAUGGACGACGAAGCACAUAUCGUUGUGGCGUGUCGGCUGGGGCCCAACCCCGCGCAACUCGAGCCACAGAUCCAUAGUCUUCAAUCAAUGUUGUCCAUGAAGAAAAGCAGAACCGCCAUCCUGCAACCAUCAAGCAAGCGCUGGAACAACAUCCAAACUCUGCAAAUUGCCGCCGCCGUGAAAGACGAAGGACGCCGUCUGACUCCUAAACAUGACGACCCUAUAGGCCUCACAACGGCGUCGGAGCACACGCCGCCGCAACAGGGAGGAAGCCGGAGGACACACAUCCAUAGCUUGGUCGAUGCCGCCGCCUCGUCUACCAAGCCUGAAAACAAAAGCCUCAAUGGACGAACCAUCCGACGAGAAAGAUGA
rnacentral:rRNA from 1 species